AUUACUCCUACGGGAGGCAGCAGUAGGGAAUAUUGGACAAUGGGCGCAAGCCUGAUCCAGCCAUCCCGCGUGAAGGAUUAAGGUCCUAUGGAUUGUAAACUUCUUUUCUCUGGGAAUAAAAACCGGGAUUCAUUCCUGGCUUGAAGGUACCAGAGGAAUAAGCACCGGCUAACUCCGUGCCAGCAGCCGCGGUAAUAAU
rnacentral:rRNA from 1 species